rnacentral:rRNA from 1 species
UACGAAGGAUGCGAGCGUUAUCCGGAUUUAUUGGGUUUAAAGGGUGCGUAGGCGGCUUUGUAAGUCAGUGGUGAAAUAUGGCAGCUUAACUGUCAAGGUGCCAUUGAUACUGCGGAGCUUGAGUACAGAUGAGGUAGGCGGAAUUGACGGUGUAGCGGUGAAAUGCUUAGAUAUCGUCAAGAACACCUAUAGCGAAGGCAGCUUACUAGGCUGUAACUGACGCUGAGGCACGAAAGUGUGGGGAUCAAACAGG